UACGAAGGGGGCUAGCGUUGUUCGGAAUUACUGGGCGUAAAGCGCGUGUAGGCGGGUCUUUAAGUCAGGGGUGAAAUGCCAAGGCUCAACCUUGGAACUGCCUUUGAUACUGGAGAUCUUGAGUCCGGGAGAGGUGAGUGGAAUUGCGAGUGUAGAGGUGAAAUUCGUAGAUAUUCGCAAGAACACCAGUGGCGAAGGCGGCUCACUGGCCCGGAACUGACGCUGAGGCACGAAAGCGUGGGUAGCAAACAGG
rnacentral:rRNA from 1 species